UCAGUGAUAUACAGUGUUGAGAAAAUGCUCCACUGGUUGUUGAGAAUACAAGGAGCUAAACUCAUGAGAGAAAUGUAGUAUGGGUCGGGAGUUAAUCGUACAUGUGCAAGACAUCAUAUUUAUGUAUCUUGCUCAACACUUACGUAUACCUAAAUAUAUUAUAUAUAACGUAGGAUUCCUUAUUCACACUUGCAUACCAUCAAUGAAGCUACUAGUUUUUUCUACGGCACACAUGAAUUCCACUUUCCCAUGAUAGACUCAACUACGGUCCAAUGAUCGAUUUCGUAAGCUUCAUAAUCAUGAUCAACCAUGAAUGAGCCUAACCAAUUCAUCCGAUUCCAAUUCCUUUUUAAUCUGCAAAACUUGUUGAAUGGAGGUGAUUUUAAAUGAGAAGAACGCAGGUGAGUGGGUUUACCGAGGCGAAGGAGCUGCUAAUCUUGUUCUGGCAUACACCGGAUCAUCUCCUACUUUUAUUGGGAAAGUGAUGCGCAUUCGUAAGGCUCCUAGGAAUGGCGCAGAGGUCACUAGUAUGAGGAGCCCCUCUUCAUUGACUGCGCACGAACGCCUGCUCUGGAAGGACGUUCAUGAACUCAUUUCAUCUUUGGACAAUGAAAUUGCAGGCCAACUAUUUGUCCUCCACGUUAUGAAGCCAUUGCUUGGUUCCAAAUAUGUUGAUGCUGGGAUGCUUGUUGGGGUGUCGAUGAAGUUUCUUGAAUCGGUUGAAAAGAAUGUUAUUUGUCAACGUCCUGCUUGGAGAGUUGAUAAUGCACAGGUCGACAUGCAUCGUGAUUCUGUGCUUCUUAUGUCUGAUCAUUCACUCUUCACUCAUGGUAAUCUAGGAUCUAGCCCCAGCAUAUCUGUUGAGAUAAAGCCCAAAUGCGGAUUUCUUCCUCUUUCAAGAUUCAUAUCUGAAGGAACUGCUAUCAAAAAGAGGAUAACUCGCUUUCAAAUGCACCAAGCUCUGAAAUUGCAUCGAGGAGAGAUAGCACUGCUAAGUGAAUACAAUCCACUUGAUUUGUUCUCUGGAUCAAAGGAAAGAAUUCAUAAAGCUAUCAAGGAUCUCUUCACUACACCACAAAACAACUUCCGUGUAUUUAAGAAUGGCUCUCUCAUAUUUGGUGGUCUGGGAGGUGGUGCAGAAGAUACAAACUUUUGUAUUGCUAAAGCAUUUGAAGAUGCACUUAAGUCUGUCAUUCGAGCUGAUGAUGGUCACUGUACAGAGAACUUGCUUACUCUUGUUGCUGAGGCUGUGAAAAAAUCAGGAGUCCUUGAUCGGCUCCUAGAGGUUCAGAAGCUUGAUAAUGUUGACAUAGAAGGAGCCAUCCAUGCAUAUUAUGACAUAACUCGUCAACAGUGCAUGAUAUGUAGAGAAUUGAGUGAAGAGCAGCUCAAAAGAUAUUCCUCUUUGCAUUCUGCUUCGUUGGAUGAAAGCUUGAGAAUUGUAAAGGACUACCUAAUAGCAGCAACAGCAAAAGAUUGCAGUUUUAUGAUAUGUUUUAGACCAAGGAAAGAGGGGGGUUCCAGAUCUGAAUGCAGUAGUAUAUAUCUCGAGUCAACUAAGCAAGCCUUUGACUUCAAGGUGUACUUUAUUGACUUGGAUUUGAAGCGAAUGAGUAAAAUGGAAGAAUAUUAUGAAUUAGAUAAGAAGAUAGUGAGCUGCUACAAAGAAAUGAUCAAAAUGGAUCAAGGAAGAAAUUCACAAACUUGCAAGCACCUUAAACUGCCUGCUGAGAUUUAGUAGGCUCUGUUAUAGAUGACACCUGAGGAAGAUUGCAUUGUGUAAUGCUGUAAACAGUACUCAGAACUUGGCAAAGAAAAGCCUAUUUUAGAGCCGUGACUUCAGCUCAGAUCUGGUUUUUCCUUUGGUCAGCCUAGUUGGGCCAUGGCUUGACUGAUGCUCUGUGUAUGCCAUACAUUGAGCUCAUGAGCUGUUUCAAGUGGCCUCUACCGUCAGCAAAACUGCUCCAUUCAAGGUGCAGGAAAAAGCAACUUGUAAAGGCAUUACUUCCGUUGUCCUCAACGGGUCCAAUAUCAUGGUGGCAAUGAUUGGCGAAGUCAAUGCAGUGAGGAUCAUCAAGCUCAGAAAAUCACCAGGAAUUUUGUAGAGGCGCUCCCUGGGAAAAGGUGCUAUCAUGCCAGAGCUACGAUGUAUGGUAUAUGAUUUCUGAAUAUGCUUUUAGUGACUGUUCCACUACGUAAUUAACUCACUCUAAUCGCUGUGCCUGUUGUACCAUUAUCAACCUUUCUGCCAACCAAAAUCAUGUCUGUGUUCGUUGAUACGAAAUUUUCUUUUAUUAUUAUUCUAACUUGAUUUCAUGAAUAAUUUAAUUAGAAUGCGCUGAUAGUAUACAGGUUUUUUAUAUGCUGUCUUCUAAUUAUAGAUAGUCAUAUAAUUGGAAAUUAUUGACUUUUGUAAUAAUUAUUUUAAAAGUAAUUUGUAAGAUAAUUUUUAAUUAACUCGGGGGAUAAAUUUUUUUACACUUAGUAUCAAAUUUAAGUUCUUUCAAGAAAAUUACAUUAUCUUUUUUUGAUGCUGAGAAAAUUACAUUUGCUUAAUAAGAGAAUCUGGACAUUAGGUGAUCUAUCUGAUUUCUCUGGUUUCGUCUAGAACUCGAAAGGGUCUGGUGCUGACCAUAUAAAAUUGUCUGUGUCAGCAUGAAUUUAGAAUCUAAAUGUUAUUUAUCAUCAAGGUAACUCCGUUUCGGUCUUGUUAAAGUUCAAGUGCAAGUAAUAAUUAUUAUGAGAAAUCUAGAUAUUUUAUUCUAGCAAAUUCAUAAUUCGUUAUUUACGUCUCUGUAUUUCAUGAAUUUAAAUAGUUAAUUUCAUUAUAUCGCUUUAAGAAAACAAACCAAUCAGCAGGUUAUUCGAAAUGGAAAAUGUUGAAGUAGGAAAAUCAAAAUUUAAAUGUGAAAAAUCAAACUAGAAUUAAUUGAUAU